rnacentral:lncRNA from 1 species
UCGUUUCAUUCGGAGCCGUCAACUUUGCUCUCGUUUCACCAUGCCAUCUCCAUCGAUCGUAGUAGCAGCGGCUUCGGCAACCUAACGCCUUUGUUUCACCGCCGUUUCAUUCAUGUUCGGGGUCGGAACGGCGGGGGAAUUCUUGGUGCCCGGCCGGGGGUGAUUCUUGUGUAGCACCAGCAGUAAAUAAAUCUUGAACCGCCUUGGCUGCUGCUUAAGUGCUUAUUAUAUGCUGCGAGGAUCCGGUAUUCCGGUAGGCUACCUUCUCAUCAUCUGAAUCCUUCGAAAUCGUGCAACCGCAAGCCAGUCUGUGCUUGCCUGCACGCGUUGUACUAGUCAUAGCAGUUUCGCCUGGGGUGGCCAUUGUUGGUGUGAUGUGAGCUGAUGCAUUCUUCUUCAUAUGCCCUCGAGAACCGUCGGGUUGCCGCUGAAAAGCGAGCCCGUGUCUUUUCCUUCAGACAGUGAGAAGUCAUGUGUUAUCAUCCGUCGAUUCUGUCUGAUUCUUCUUUUCCAUACCAUAGCACCCUGUCUGAUUUUUCUUUUCCACACCAUCCUAGGGACGUCGGCUCUAUCUGAUUUUGCUUUUCCAUGCCAUCAGGUCGACUCUUGUCUGAUUAAUAACUGUCUUCUUUUUGAGUGAAGUCUGGUAUGACAUUUUUUAUAGAACACGAAGAGUCAGUAUGAGAUUAGUAUCUGUCGCAAAAAAAACACUAUAUUGCUGUAUCUCUGGGCCUCUAACAGGCCCACUAGUGCAGGACAAACUCUGGGCCUAGAUUCCCUCUAGAUGGUCCAGCCCAAAAAUAAAAGGUAGACAUGCAUUUUCACGUGCAUGACUGACUUU